AUGAAGAAGUGGAACCGGGCUGGCAAUCCUAGAUGCUCGUUCCGCAGAUAUAUUGAAACAUCACAACAUCUGUUCUUCACCUGUCCCGUUGCUCGGGUGGUUUGGAGGACGGCUGGAUGUGUGCUGGGCACGGCCCUAUGCCUGAACAACAUUUGGCAAUAUUUCUCCUGGUGCUAUGUUUUCCUACCAGAUGGAGCCAGGUUCUAUACCUUUGGCUUGGCAGCCGUGUGCUGGGCAAUAUGGAAUUGUCGCAACCAGGCUACCUUUGAACAGAAACAGCUUAAGACUCCAUUUAAUGUGGUAUAUUCUGCUUGUGGUUUUUUGACAUACUGGACAGGUUUGAUGGCUGGUGCUGAUCGGGAAGCAAUGGAACACGAAGCCAAGAUGCUCAGGACGAAUGCUUCGACGAUGAUGAGAUUCUGUGCAGCUCCAGCUAAGGCAGCGAUGGACUGA
rnacentral:rRNA from 1 species